rnacentral:tRNA from 1 species
GCUCAGGUGGUGGAAUUGGUAGACACGCACGCUUGAGGGGCGUGUGCCGAAAGGUGUGAGGGUUCGAGUCCCUUCCUGAGCACCA